GAUGAACGCUGGCGGCGUGCCUAAUACAUGCAAGUCGAGCGAACAGAUGAGGCGCUUGCUCCUCUGACGUUAGCGGCGGACGGGUGAGUAACACGUGGAUAACCUACCUAUAAGACUGGGAUAACUUCGGGAAACCGGAGCUAAUACCGGAUAAUAUAUUGAACCGCAUGGUUCAAUAGUGAAAGACGGUUUUGCUGUCACUUAUAGAUGGUUCCGCGCCGCAUUAGCUAGUUGGUAAGGUAACGGCCUACCAAGGCAACGAUGCGUAGCCGACCUGAGAGGGUGAUCGGCCACACUGGAACUGAGACACGGUCCAGACUCCUACGGGAGGCAGCAGUAGGGAAUCUUCCGCAAUGGGCGAAAGCCUGACGGAGCAACGCCGCGUGAGUGAUGAAGGUCUUCGGAUCGUAAAACUCUGUUAUUAGGGAAGAACAAAUGUGUAAGUAACUAUGCCCGUCUUGACGGUACCUAAUCAGAAAGCCACGGCUAACUACGUG
rnacentral:rRNA from 1 species